GUUCCAGACUCCUACGGGAGGCAGCAGUGGGGAAUAUUGCACAAUGGGGGAAACCCUGGUGCAGCGACGCCGCGUGAGCGAUGAAGUAUUUCGGUAUGUAAAGCUCUAUCAGCAGGGAAGAAGAUGACGGUACCUGACUAAGAAGCCCCGGCUAACUACGUGCCAGCAGCCGCGGUAAUACGUAGGGGGCGAGCGUUAUCCGGAUUCACUGGGUGUAAAGGGAGCGUAGACGGCCAAGCAAGCCAGGGGUGAAAGCCCGGGGCCCAACCCCGGGACUGCCCUUGGAACUGCUUGGCUGGAGUGCGGGAGGGGCAGGCGGAAUUCCUGGUGUAGCGGUGAAAUGCGUAGAUAUCAGGAGGAACACCGGUGGCGAAGGCGGCCUGCUGGACUGCAACUGACGUUGAGGCCCGAAAGCGUGGGGAGCAAACAGGAUUAGAUGCCCGUGUA
rnacentral:rRNA from 1 species